GACGAACGCUGGCGGCGUGCUUAACACAUGCAAGUCGAACGGAAAGGCCCUGCUUGCAGGGUACUCGAGUGGCGAACGGGUGAGUAACACGUGGGUGAUCUGCCCUGCACUUCGGGAUAAGCCUGGGAAACUGGGUCUAUUCCGGAUAGGAGCCAUUUUUAGGGGGGUGGUUUGAAAGGUUUUUCGGUGUAGGAUGAGCUCGCGGCCUAUCAGCUUGUUGGUGGGGUAAUGGCCUACCAAGGCGGCGACGGGUAGCCGGCCUGAGAGGGUGGACGGCCACAUUGGGACUGAGAUACGGCCCAGACUCCUACGGGAGGCAGCAGUGGGGAAUAUUGCACAAUGGGCGCAAGCCUGAUGCAGCGACGCCGCGUGGGGGAUGACGGCCUUCGGGUUGUAAACUCCUUUCGCUAGGGACGAAGCUUUUUGUGACGGUACCUAGAUAAGAAGCACCGGCUAACUACGUG
rnacentral:rRNA from 1 species